GUCGUAACAAGGUUUCCGUAGGUGAACCUGCGGAAGGAUCAUUACCACAUCUCUCUAAAAACAAAAAGGGGCGUAGGGCUUCGGCCUGUAACCCCUCUUUGUGUUCCGCGUACCAUCUGCCUGGAAAUCUGGGGAAACUCAGGUCUUCAGGUGGUCAACUUUCCGGUGCUGCUUGACAGCGCCCAUUCUUUUAUUUUUUCUCCAUUUCGCAAGAAGUGUUGAAACAAAUGAUAUUGAUGUCAUAACUGAUCGUUAGGUUUUUUCUCACGAAAAGACCCCAACAUCUAAACGACAAAACACUUUCAGCAACGGAUGUCUUGGCUCCCA
rnacentral:misc_RNA from 1 species